GGAGGUGUGGCCGAGUGGUUGAAGGCACCGGUCUUGAAAACCGGCGAAGGGGCGACCCUUCCGUGAGUUCGAAUCUCACCGCCUCCGCCA
rnacentral:tRNA from 1 species